CGGGGACCAUGGCGUGGGGAGCGCGCGUGGCGGGGCGCGCCCUCGGUCCCUUCCCGGGAGGUGGGUGGUUGACGGGCCCGCCGGGGAGCCAGGGAGCGCCGGGAAGCGCCGGGAAGCCAAGCUGCAGUGUUCCUCAGCAACAAGUCUCGCUGAGAUCCGACCCAGAGUUCGGCCUCUGACUAGACGCCUGGGAAUCCGUGAGCUUAAUCCCCGCUUAAAUCCCAAACGGAAAAUCAUAGCGCUUUCUUGUCGGUUAAGGGUGUCAUUCCCAUAAGAAGCUGGACCUGGGGACCGCCAGGGAAAGCCUGAGCGUGGCAGCAAAUGGGGAGGCCUGGAGGGAUCGCAGCAGUCUUGGACUCGGGAUCUGAAAUUCUCUCCCUAGGAUUUGUAAACAGUGCCAGUUCCUAAGCUAUUUGUUGUCCUAUGGUCUGUCCAUCUUUAAAUCCCACCAGUAACAAUCCAAUCUCCAGGCUGACCCUCUAAACCUGCUUUAGCUGGGCGUUGAUCCGCAGCACCACCAGAAGGCAGUGACGAAGAGGGAAAAAUAAAGUGAACUAGGACCUCCUGUAGAAUAACUCCUCCUGUGGAAUAACUCCUCCUGUGGAAUAAGACUCCAGGUUCUUCGGGGACUCUUGGACUUACACCAGCGUUUUGCCGGGGGCUCUGUCGGCUGCACUGUCAGUUUCCCUACUUUUGAGACUUUUGGACUCGGACUGAGCCACUACUGGCUUCCUUCUUUCUCAGCUUGGAGACAGCCUAUCAUGGACUUCGCAUUGUGAUCGUAUGGUGCUGUAAUGGAAAUCCUUUAUUUGUGACUCUUGUGGCCUUGUGUGAGAGUUUUUUCCUAAGAUGGACUACAGAGAACCAGAGAGAGUUUUAAAUGUCUUAUUACCAGAACUUAAAGACCUUUAAGCAGAUGCAUGUAAAAAAAUGAUGGUACUUGACAGUCCAGCUGCCACAAUGCUUUCAAAAAACUGGAUUUCUACUGGAUUCUUCAAGAUUACAAAGUUACAGCCUUAACAAACAGUUUCCUCUGAGAUGUGAGAGUAAUCUACAUAUUAAGAAUUGCUGCUAAAAAGAAGAGACCACUAUCUAGUUGCAGAAAAACAAGCAGGCUCCCACUGAUUCUACAUUAUG
rnacentral:lncRNA from 10 species